rnacentral:lncRNA from 1 species
CGGCCAUAGCAACAACAAAGGAAGAAAAGAAGAACAAAAACCCUAGAGUGAAAAUUCAAGAGAAAAUUGGUAGAUUUCAAGUAAUCAAGCAAUCAAAGGUAAAAUUUCUUGAUUUUGACUUGUGAUCUACCUUUCCCAUGCAUUCUUUUGCAUUUUCCAUGGUUGCAUCAUAUGAUUUCGUGAUGGGUAUCUUGCUGAUCAAACCCUAGGAGAGAGAAUUUGAUGAUGAUUUAAAUAGAUUUUUAAGAUAUAUGGAUGUUUUUAGUUGUUUAUGGUGUUAAGUGUAAGAAUUAAGCUUGAAAUUCACAUAUUCCUCAUGAGUUCAUCAUAGGCCAAAUCUUCCUUGUAGAGUGUUGAUGGUGGAUUUGAUUUUAUUUCAAGUGAAUUGGUUAGGAAAUGAUGAAUUAUGGUGAGAAAAUCAAGUAAGAAAAAUCAUAGUGUUGAUGCACCCACCAUGGCCGAAAUUCUCAAGAGAAAAUGUGAAGAUGAUUUUACUAAAUUUUAUGCUAUUUGACUUGUGUUUGAUGGUUUGGAGAAUUGGAAGAAAAAUGGAGUUGAUUAGUGUUGAAUUGGACAUAUUGGCCAAUUCAUUGGGUGAUAGAUCAAAUUAGGCCAAUACCGUUUUAUUUAGGUACAUAAUUGAAAUUGUGUAGAAUACCGUGUUUAGACGAUAAUCCGAACAAUUUGCAUUCCAUUUCAUGCAUUAGUAAAGAGCCUGAAAUAGAUUUUAUAAUGGUAUGACACAGUAUAUUGAAUUAUGUGUCGUGUAUUGUAUAUAGGUGGUGAGCUCUCUAACAAGGGUAAAGACGUUGCGUCAGAGGACUGAGAAUAGGAGUAUUUUAAACUCCUGACAUUGUGAGUAACCUUAUUAUCGUCUUAAUUAUCUAAAGUAUGUUUUUAUCCAAUUUUGUAAUUUCAUGAAAAAUGAGUUUAAAUAGUAAAUCUUUAUGUUUUAUAAACAAAAUGAGUUUAAAUGAAAUGAUUUUAUAAAUUGUCUUGAAAUUGAAUGAUGGCUUGGAAAAUAGAGUAAUUGGAGACCACUUAAUUGUGUUGUAAAUUUUUGGUUCUAAUUGAUUGGCUUAUGGCAAUAUUGGCAUGAAUGGUUGAAUUUCUAAAUGUGUUGAAAAUAUAUGAACUAUUGAUUUGCGUUGAGAGGCUGUAAAAUAAGAUAAUUGCCAUGUCAUGCUAUUGCAAAUUUUAUUGUAUGGUGGGUUUAGCUUGCUGCAGUGGGCGGGUUUCUGUGGACCAGCUUAUUAGAGGGGCAUGGUAAAACCCUUCAUAUUUUACCUCGGUUGGAGAGGCGUGUAGGGUAACUCCCGAGGUACAAUUUUAGAGUUCACUUCAUGCCAAACCACCACAUGAGGGUGAACUCAGCCAACGCCAAGGAAUGACUAUGUUUUCAAAUAAAAACAUGAUUUAUGCGUACAUAACUUUUUAAUAGCCUUGGUGGAUUCGGUUUGGGAUAGCCCUCGGCCAAGGUAUCCCUGACAACUGAGUAUGAGAAUAAUUUUGGCACAAGCCAAGUUUUUAAGAAAUUUAUAAGCCAUUUGAUUACUCGAUUUUUACAAAUUGAUUUUAUAUGGUUGAAAUGAGUUGAAAGGUGA